UGCAGUCGACGAUGAACCGGUUUCGGCCGGGGAUUAGUGGCGAACGGGUGAGUAACACGUGGGCAAUCUGCCCUGCACUCUGGGAUAAGCCCGGGAAACUGGGUCUAAUACCGGAUACGACACUCCGAGGCAUCUUGGGGUGUGGAAAGUUCCGGCGGUGCAGGAUGAGCCCGCGGCCUAUCAGCUUGUUGGUGGGGUAAUGGCCUACCAAGGCGACGACGGGUAGCCGGCCUGAGAGGGUGACCGGCCACACUGGGACUGAGACACGGCCCAGACUCCUACGGGAGGCAGCAGUGGGGAAUAUUGCACAAUGGGCGAAAGCCUGAUGCAGCGACGCCGCGUGAGGGAUGACGGCCUUCGGGUUGUAAACCUCUUUCAGCAGGGAAGAAGCGAAAGUGACGGUACCUGCAGAAGAAGCACCGGCUAACUACGUGCCAGCAGCCGCGGUAAUACGUAGGGUGCGAGCGUUGUCCGGAAUUAUUGGGCGUAAAGAGCUCGUAGGCGGUUUGUCGCGUCGAUUGUGAAAGCCCGGGGCUUAACCCUGGGUCUGCAGUCGAUACGGGCAGGCUAGAGUUCGGCAGGGGAGACUGGAAUUCCUGGUGUAGCGGUGAAAUGCGCAGAUAUCAGGAGGAACACCGGUGGCGAAGGCGGGUCUCUGGGCCGAUACUGACGCUGAGGAGCG
rnacentral:rRNA from 1 species